UACGAAGGGGGCUAGCGUUGCUCGGAAUUACUGGGCGUAAAGGGCGCGUAGGCGGGUCGUUAAGUAGGGGGUGAAAGCCCAGGGCUCAACCCUGGAAUUGCCUUCUAAACUGGCGGCCUUGAGUAUGGCAGAGGUGUGUGGAACUCCGAGUGUAGAGGUGAAAUUCGUAGAUAUUCGGAAGAACACCAGUGGCGAAGGCGACACACUGGGCCAUUACUGACGCUGAGGCGCGAAAG
rnacentral:rRNA from 1 species